rfam:Salmo salar isolate Sally breed double haploid chromosome ssa10, whole genome shotgun sequence.
UGCAUUCACUAGCGUAAGUCGCUCUGGAUAAGAGCGUCUGCUAAAUGACGUAAA